GACGAACCGUGCGAACGUUGUUCGGAAUCACUGGGCUUAAAGGGCGCGUAGGCGGUCUUCUAAGUCUUGUGUGAAAUCCCUCGGCUCAACUGAGGAACUGCACGGGAUACUGGAAGACUUGAGUUCGGGAGAGGGAAGCGGAAUUCCGGGUGUAGCGGUGAAAUGCGCAGAUAUCAGGAGGAACACCUAUUGCGAAGGCAGCUCGCUGGGACGUAACUGACGCUGAGACGCGAAAGCGUGGGGAGCAAACAGG
rnacentral:rRNA from 1 species